rnacentral:rRNA from 1 species
AUUGAACGCUGGCGGCAGGCCUAACACAUGCAAGUCGAACGAGUGGCGGACGGGUGAGUAAUGUCUGGGAAACUUCCUGAUGGAGGGGGAUAACUACUUGAAACGGUCUCUAAUACCGCAUACCCUCUGAUGUGCCCAGAUGGGAUUAGCUAGUAGGUGGGGUAAAGGCUCACCUAGGCGACGAUCCCUAGCUGGUCGGAGAGGAUGACCAGCCACAAGGGAACUGAGACAGGGUCCAGCCUCCUACGGGAGGCAGCAGUGGGGAAUAUUGCACAAGGGGCGAAAGCCUGAUGCAGCAAUGCCGCGGGUAUGAAGAAGGCCUUCGGGUUGUAAAGUACUUUAAGCGGGGAGGCGUUACCCGAAGAAGAAGCACCGGCUAACUCCGUGCCAGCAGCCGCGGUAAUAC